rnacentral:rRNA from 1 species
AGUGAGUAUAUUAAAUAGCCGCAGUAUUUUGACUGUGCAAAGGUAGCAUAAUAAAUAGUCUUUUAAUUGGAGGCUGGAAUGAAUGAUAGGAUGUGAUGAAUUCUGUCUUUAUGGCAAUUGAUUGAAUUUUACUUUUUGAUGAAGAGGUUAAGAUUGAAUUGGUAGACGAGAAGACCCUAUUAAGCUUUAUUGUAACAGAAAUUUUAUUUUGUUAUAUUCUGUUGAUGGAUUUUGAUUAUAAUUUCGUUGGGGCAAUGUUUGAAUAUAAUAUAAUUUUUGAUUUUUUUGUUAUGAGUUGAUCCAUUAUUAGUGAUUGUGAGAUUAAGUUACUAUAGGGAUAACAGCGUAAUUAAUUCGGAGAGUUCUGAUCGGUGAAUUGGAUUGCGACCUCGAUGUUGGUUUAUUGGUUCUUUAGGGUGUAGAAGCUUUAUAAGAG